rnacentral:misc_RNA from 1 species
GUAAUAUUGAAACAACGAUUAAUCAGUACAUAGCUUAGAUACAUAAAUAGCAACAAACAUUAAGCAACCAUUGCUUCAGUAAGCAAUUUGAAUUUAACCAAUAGAAAUACAUCAAUUAGAAGUUAAUUAUAAAGAUACGGAUAGUUGAGAGUCGUGUGUAUGAAGUUACAUUUCAAGGAGUAGUGGUUUGUGUGGCAUCAGCUGGAGUGUUGGGGAAUGGGGGAAAUGGAAAAGUAGGCAGACCACCAAAGGCGCCGCCACCAGUUGAUGGAGUAGGAAAACCUGGAGUCGUAGGCAUAGGAAAUGAGGGGAAACCACCACCAGUUGAUGGAGUCGUAGGCAUAGGAAAUGAGGGGAAACCACCACCAGUUGAUGGAGUCGUAGGCAUAGGAAAUGAGGGGAAACCACCACCAGUGGAUGGAGUAGUAGGCAUAGGGAAACCACCAAAUUGCUGAAGACGUCGAGCUGCUGUGGCUUGCUCAAUUGACAUUACUGAUACAACAAGCACCACAACGGCUAUCAUGACAUUUAUCUUCACCAUUUUUUGUUGUUGUAAAAAAAUACUACUCUUUUU